rnacentral:lncRNA from 1 species
AAAUUGGUCAUGAGAGGAUUUUUAUCAAAUUAAAAUCAUUCAUCCAUUUUGGGAGAUGAAAUGUCCAUUUCAUCAAUCCCCUAAAUCCAAUUAUUUUAAUCCAACAAAAGUCAAAUCAACCUUGAGCAAGGCCCAAACAGAUAGUCUAGCAUCACAAGACCAUAAAAAUGGCUCAACAUAAUUUUUACACAACUAAUCAAUUAAAAAUCAAAUUAAAA